GCAGUGGCCGUCGCACUCCUAUCCAGAUGCGACGCUGGUAAAGGACCCAAUGUUUUGCCACGUGAAACACCAGACGCUUUUCAGGUCUUCGCUGCGUUUCCUUACGCCGUCGCGAUCUCGGACGCUGACAACGAUACCAUCUUCGAAUGCCUGACGGCAACACGCAAGGACUUUGAUCCGGAGGCCAAAACGGUAACGUACGUGUGGUCACUCAGCGACGGCCCCGGGAAGAGGAAGCACGUUGGCUUUCACCACACAGCGGGUGCGACCCC
rnacentral:lncRNA from 1 species